rnacentral:rRNA from 1 species
GAUGAACGCUGGCGGCGUGCUUAACACAUGCAAGUCGAACGGGAACCUCACGACGGAGACUUCGGUUGAAGAUGUGAGAAUUCUAGUGGCGGACGGGUGAGUAACGCGUGGGUAACCUGCCCAUGAGAGGAGGAUAACAGGGAGAAAUUCUUGCUAAUACUCCAUAUGCUUACGGUAUCGCAUGAUACAGUGAGGAAAGAAUUUCGCUCAUGGAUGGACCCGCGUUUGAUUAGCCAGUUGGUGGGGUAACGGCCUACCAAAGCUACGAUCAAUAGCCGGCCUGAGAGGGUGAUCGGCCACAUUGGGACUGAGACACGGCCCAAACUCC